rnacentral:tRNA from 1 species
GAGGGGAUAGCACAGUGGCAGAGCGCUUGCUUAGCAUGCACGAGGUCCUGGGUUCAAUCCCCAGUACCACCA